rnacentral:rRNA from 1 species
AGAGUUUGAUCCUGGCUCAGAACGAACGCUGGCGGCGUGGAUAAGACAUGCAAGUCGAGCGAGAUUUUUCGUUGUAGCAAUACGAUGGAAAGUCUAGCGGCGAACGGGUGCUUAACACGUGGGCAACCUGCCAUGAAGUGGGGGAUAGCUCGCCGAAAGGCGAAUUAAUACCGCAUGUGAUUAGAGAGGACAUCCUUUCGAAAUUAAAGUCGGGGCAACCUGACGCUUCUUGUGGGGCCCGCGGCCUAUCAGCUAGUUGGUGAGGUAACGGCUCACCAAGGCUUUGACGGGUAGCUGGUCUGAGAGGACGACCAGCCACACUGGGACUGAGACACGGCCCAGACACCUACGGGUGGCAGCAGUCGAGAAUUUUUGACAAUGGGGGAAACCCUGAUCGAGCGACGCCGCGUGGAGGGUGAAGGUCUUCGGAUUGUAAACUCCUGUCAUUUGGGAACAAGGUGCACACGUUAACUGCGUGUGCAUUGAUAGUACCAGAAGAGGAAGAGACGGCUAACUCUGUGCCAGCAGCCGCGGUAAUACAGAGGUCUCAAGCGUUGUUCGGAUUCAUUGGGCGUAAAGGGUGCGUAGGCGGCGCGGUAAGUCGGGUGUGAAAUCUCGGAGCUUAACUCCGAAACUGCAUUCGAUACUGCCGUGCUUGAGGACUGGAGAGGAGACUGGAAUUUACGGUGUAGCGGUGAAAUGCGUAGAUAUCGUAAGGAAGACCAGUGGCGAAGGCGGGUCUCUGGACAGUUCCUGACGCUGAGGCACGAAGGCCAGGGGAGCAAACGGGAUUAGAUACCCCGGUAGUCC